rnacentral:rRNA from 1 species
GAUGAACGCUGGCGGCGUGCCUAAUACAUGCAAGUCGAGCGAACAGAUGAGGAGCUUGCUCCUCUGACGUUAGCGGCGGACGGGUGAGUAACACGUGGAUAACCUACCUAUAAGACUGGGAUAACUUCGGGAAACCGGAGCUAAUACCGGAUAAUAUAUUGAACCGCAUGGUUCAAUAGUGAAAGACGGUUUUGCUGUCACUUAUAGAUGGAUCCGCGCCGCAGUAGCUAGUUGGUAAGGUAACGGCUUACCAAGGCAACGAUGCGUAGCCGACCUGAGAGGGUGAUCGGCCACACUGGAACUGAGACACGGUCCAGACCCCUACGGGAGGCAGCAGUAGGGAAUCUUCCGCAAUGGGCGAAAGCCUGACGGAGCAACGCCGCGUGAGUGAUGAAGGUCUUCGGAUCGUAAAACUCUGUUAUUAGGGAAGAACAAAUGUGUAAGUAACUAUGCACGUCUUGACGGUACCUAAUCAGAAAGCCACGGCUAACUACGUG